GACGAACGCUGGCGGCGUGCCUAAUACAUGCAAGUAGAACGAGUGGCGGACGGGUGAGUAAUGUCUGGGAAACUGCCCGAUGGAGGGGGAUAACUACUGGAAACGGUAGCUAAUACCGCAUACCAUCGGAUGUGCCCAGAUGGGAUUAGCUAGUAGGUGGGGUAACGGCUCACCUAGGCGACGAUCCCUAGCUGGUAUGAGAGGAUGACCAGCCACACUGGAACUAUGCGACGGUCCAGAAGCCUACGGGAGGCAGCAGUGGGGAAUAUGGCACGAGGGGCACAAGCCGGAUGCAGCCAUGCCGCGUGUAUGAAGAAGGCCUUCGGGUUGUAAAGUACUUUCAGCGAGGAGGCGUUACUCGCAGAAGAAGCACCGGCUAACUACGUGCCAGCAUCCGCGGUAAUAC
rnacentral:rRNA from 1 species